rnacentral:rRNA from 1 species
GCAUAUCACUAAGCGGAGGAAAAGAAACUAACAAGGAUUCCCUCAGUAACGGCGAGUGAAGAGGGAAAAGCCCAGCACCGAAGCCUGUGGCCAUUUGGUUACUAGGCAAUGUGGUGUUCAGGUCGUUCCGCAGAGGUGCUGCUUCACUCCAAGUCCAACAAUGAGUACGGUAGUACGGACAUGGCCCAAAGAGGGUGAAAGGCCCGUGGGAGUGGAGAUUCAGGCAGGCCAGUGCCUCUCUGGGUAGACCUUGGAGUCGGGUUGUUUGUGAAUGCAGCCCAAAGUGGGUGGUAAACUCCAUCCAAGGCUAAAUACUAGCACGAGUCCGAUAGCGAACAAGUACCGUGAGGGAAAGUUGAAAAGUACUUUGAAGAGAGAGUAAACAGUGCGUGAAACCGCUCAGAGGUAAACGGGUGGAGUUGAACUGCAAGCUUUGGGGAUUCAGCUGGUGAGUGUGAAUUGAGCUUGGUCAAAUUGGUUGGACUCUGGGGUCUGUGUAGUAGCAGGUCUCCGCUUUCGGGUGGGGAUGCGCGAUGCACUUAUCAAGUGUUGUGCGCCUCAGUGUUCUUCGGGCCAACUUGCCAGUGCACUUUCUCAGAGUGGUCACCACGACCGGCACUGCUGUCUGGCUGUUGCGGUUAAACCGGUUUUGCAUCGGUCUUGUGCCUUUGCUUGAUCGGGAUGGCAGGUAGCUCGUUGGCUUGUCUGUGGCUUGCUGCAGGCGUUCGGCUUUCGGGUGUAAUCAGCUGACUGUGAUGGUUCUGUGCGGUGUGUCGGAGACGGCGGCUUGUGGUGUGUCCGGGUGUGCCUAUCGUUGGCGUUUUCGGGUUUGGUCGUUAUGUUGCUUGUUCAAGCAGGCCUAGUGAUGGCUCGGAUUCGUUCGAUGGUAUGGUUACAGAUGGGACACCUUUUAUCCAGGGCCAACAGUCUGUGGUGUAGUGGUAGACUAUCCACCUGACC